rnacentral:lncRNA from 10 species
GCAACUACCAUAUAAUUCGGCUAUAACAUUCUUAAACAUUUAUCCCAAAGAAAUCAAGCCUUAUGUUGACACAAAACAUGUACAUGAUUGUAUAUAGCAGCUUUAUUCACAAUAGUCAAUAACCAGAAACUACCUAGAUGUUUGUACAUGGGUGAAUGACUAAACAAACUGUAGUAGAUCCGUAUCAUGGAACACUAUUCAGCAAUGUGAAGCAGUCACCCAUUGGUACAUAUAAAAACC